rnacentral:rRNA from 1 species
GAUGAACGCUGGCGGCGUGCCUAAUACAUGCAAGUCGAGCGAACGGACGAGAAGCUUGCUUCUCUGAUGUUAGCGGCGGACGGGUGAGUAACACGUGGAUAACCUACCUAUAAGACUGGGAUAACUUCGGGAAACCGGAGCUAAUACCGGAUAAUAUUUUGAACCGCAUGGUUCAAAAGUGAAAGACGGUCUUGCUGUCACUUAUAGAUGGAUCCGCGCUGCAUUAGCUAGUUGGUAAGGUAACGGCUUACCAAGGCAACGAUGCAUAGCCGACCUGAGAGGGUGAUCGGCCACACUGGAACUGAGACACGGUCCAGACUCCUACAGGAGGCAGCAGUAGGGAAUCUUCCGCAAUGGGCGAAAGCCUGACGGAGCAACGCCGCGUGAGUGAUGAAGGUCUUCGGAUCGUAAAACUCUGUUAUUAGGGAAGAACAUAUGUGUAAGUACCUGUGCUCAUCUUGACGGUACCUAAUCAGAAAGCCACGGCUAACUACGUG